GGCAUGGUGCUUAUGACACUGCAAACGUCUGGAGGUAAGUAAACGUGUGAUUCAGACACCACAUGAGACUGGAACAAGUUACUUGCUGCAGGGAUAAAUAGUGCUGAAAGUAGUAAUAGGCUAUACUCUUCUGAAAGCACAGAUGAGAGGAAGCAUAGCAUUGGUUUUUUCAAUGCAGAUAUCAGCCCAGAGAUUGAAGGCUGCUUGUAGGAAGGCAUACACUACUUAGCUGCAGGAAAGUAGUGUUCAAUCAAGCCAUAUUCUGUUACACAGAGAUUUGUUUCUAUCCUUGGGUAAGGCACGCUGGGGUAGUCCUUCUUGUGUGCAGCAGCAAAACUUCAGGACCCUUCUGGAGAAAAUGUGCAGCCCACAGCUGGAUAAACACAUCAUAUGGUGGGUGAGCAGCUGCUCAUGGGUCAGGCACAAAGGGCAACAGCAAAUGGGGUGACAUCAGACUGGUGUGACCUGUCACUAGUGGGGUUCCAUAGGGCUCCAUCCUUAGCCCUGUGCUCUUCAACAUCUUCAUAAAACAUCUGGACACAGGACUGGAAGGUAUACUAAGCAAGUUCUCAGAUGAUACAGAACUGAGAGAAGCUGUUGACUCCCUUGAAGGCAAGGAGGCCCUGCAGAGAGACCUUCACAAAUCAAGAGCUCCAGCAUGGAAACCUCAAGGAGAUAGCAGAACUUUCCUUCUGAACUAUGGCAUCUUCAAGAAGGAUUCACACCCUUAUCACUUGCUUCCCGCUCCAGCAGGAUGGAGAUGAGAAUUGGAAGUAAAAAGGUGAAGAUCACAGGUUGAGGGCCUUCCAGCAUAGAUCAUCUGCUAGGACCAUCUGGAUGUCAUGAGUUCAAUGAAUUUCCUCUGUUAAAGGUGUCUGGCAUACUGCAAAGGAGGUGUGUGUUUGGGAGUGCCUUAGGUGAAGGAAAAUCCCCUUCUUCUUCCAUUCCAGAUGUGGACAAAACCAAAUCCAUGAAGCUUGGAUGAUGAUGGACUAUUUACAAAAAUAUUUGAGCUUCAAAAGGCAGAUUUCCCAAACCUCUCUGUGACCGUGCUGCUCCCACUGCUAAGGAAAGUCAGCUGUGCCUGUGGAAGACCACAGCCCAUACUGCAGACAGGCAGAGGGACACGGCAGCAAGACAAGCAUUUUGAAAGAACAGGAAAAUAAACAAGGGGAUAAGCUGUUGCUGAACUGAGUUGCAUGGGGAGAAGAGAACAUUUAGUGUUGUCACAAUUUGAGAAGACUCUUGUCUAUUGUUUGGUUUAUGGAUUUAUGGAUUUCCACCUCCAGCAAAAUUAACAAGAAAACUUUUUUUUUUUUUUUGUGCCAUUGCAAUAUAUGCCUCAACCUGAAGAGCACUUUUGGAAGACUGUGGUCUACCAUGGUAUCAUAUUCACAUUUGGACUUGAAAUGAGCAGGAGUUUCCAUUUUUGCCUGCUCUACAUCAGUCCCUUUGAAAAGUGAUAAGCAGGUCCAAAGUGCUGCAAAACUUCAAAACCAGAACAGAUACUUUGGAAACUGCACUUCUAUAACUACACUUCUGCAUUCUUACAGUGAUAUCAGUACACAGGAAAGGUGGGGAUAAGUUUAGAUUCUCAAAAAUGAGCCUUUGUUUUGUGGCAGCUAUCAAAACAGAAUGUGUGCUUGCUUCUCUAUUGAAAAAGAAUAAAAUACUAGCAUGUUGUCUCUUUCAGCAGUGUAAAAUAUUACAUUUGAAAAUGAAUUUGCUUUUCAUUUUGCUAUGGGAAAGGAAAACACAACAUGCUAAGGAGAAAUGGCUCUCGAUGUUGCAUUUUCUUCUGUAAUCCUUUAGAGUAACAGCCUGUGCAUCAUGGACCAAGCAAAUAAGAUGUCUUUGCCAAGGCAAGCAAAAAUACUUGGAUUGGAGCUCCAAAAAUUGACAAUUUUUUGAACCUGACACUUCUAGGAUUCAUGUCCAGUGGAUUAUUUUUAGAGGGGAUAUGGAAGUACACAUGGAUGAGACUGCUGAUUGCUCUGCAAGGGACCUCACUCGAGACGCACCGCUCCAAGCAAUCGAAACUCUCAAGUGUCAACACUUUCCAAGGUGCCCGGGAUGCUAACCCGGGAGGGUUCCACUCCUCAGUGCUGGUGAAAAUAUGCAAUGGUCUUGGCUGAGCUUUCUCUCCCAGCUCAGGGGCAGCAGGAGUCGCCUAAGGGUUUGAGAUGAAGCCACCAGAGGGAGAUCUAAGGCUGCACACAUUUGAGCUGUGCCAUCUGCUAUCUGCUGAUAACGCCCUCAUCACCAUCUGUGCUGCCAUGUCAAAGCUGAGGCAAACGAAUUAUUGUGGCAAACAACAGCACCAUUAGGCCACCAACACUUGCCAAAGAUGAACAUCACUAGUUUAACGUUGCCUCUGGCAUAGCCAAUGCAUGUAAUCCCAGGGACAAAAAAAAAACAACGAGAAAACCCAAAACCAACACAACCCAAACCAAACAAACCCAAACCAAAUACCACCCAACAAAACAGCCCUCAAACAGAAUUCUUGUUGUUGUUUUUGCAGAUCCAUGCAGCCUGUUGGAGAAGUUUACAAAUGCAGCUCUGUGCUGAGCAUGCAUAAUUUGUUUUAUACCUGUUACUGCCCUACUUGCUUCAAACUGAGAUCCCAGAAAACAUUAAGUUUCUGCAAAUAUUUUGGCAUGGGCCUUUGGAAUAAUUCUAAUGAAGCUCAGCCUUCUGGGUGUUUUUCUUAGAGCGUAUUGCAGGGAAUUCAUGUUUUGAAAAAAUUCCAUGGAACAUUCCAAAGUCAAUUCUACAUUCAAAAUAAUCCUCCAAAAGCAAGAAUACAGACUACAACAAAAACAUUUAGUAAACUUCUCAUAAGAAGCUGAUUCAGACAAACUCUUAGUUAGAUUUUUGUUCUCUAGGGAUAUUCUUUGUCUUUUUAUUCUUUGUAUCUGUCUUUUUCUUUUUUAUGUCAUUCCUAGACCAUUCCCAAUCAUAGUGUAAAAUGAGAAGCCUAAAUAUAGUAAUAAAGUAAUAAAUUAUAAAGUACAAUAGGUUAUAGGAAUAAAGUAAUAAAUAAAUAAUAAAUAUAGUAGCAAUGAAGUUAUAAGUAAUAAAGUAAUAAAGUAAAUGCAGUUGCUUGUAAAAACUCAAGCUACAAUUGUCAGUAAAAACUUGUACAUUUCUGCUCUGGACCAGAAUGAAAAAAUCCCCCAAAAUUAUGACAAAUUUUAUGUGAAAAAAUGUUGAACUAUUUUGACAAUUAUCAUUUCAGCAAUUUAAAAUCUAAGUCUUUUCAGGCUGCAUCAGCAACAAAUUGUACUCCUGAUGCCUUUUCCAUUGUUGUCUCCCUUGUAAUCCUGCUGUCUGACUAUGGGAACCCCUUCCAUAAUACCUCAAUUUGUCCCUGAUUUUAAAUUAUCCUGUGUUAGAGA